GGACAGUGCUUGAUGGGUAGUUUGACUGGGGUGGUCGCCUCCAAAAGAGUAACGGAGGCUUCUAAAGGUUCCCUCAGCACGCUUGGUAACCGUGCGUAGAGUGCAAUGGCAUAAGGGAGCUUGACUGAGAGACCUACAAGUCGAUCAGGUACGAAAGUAGAGCAUAGUGAUCCGGUGGUUCCGUAUGGAAGGGCCAUCGCUCAAAGGAUAAAAGGUACUCCGGGAUAACAGGCUGAUCUCCCCCAAGAGCUCAUAUCGACGGGGGGGUUUGGCACCUCGAUGUCGGCUCGUCGCAUCCUGGGGCUGGAGUAGGUCCCAAGGGUUGGGCUGUUCGCCCAUUAAAGCGGUACGCGAGCUGGGUUCAGAACGUCGUGAGACAGUUCGGUCCCUAUCUGCCGUGGACGUUGGAGAUUUGAGGAAAGCUGCUCCUAGUACGAGAGGACCGGAGUGGACGAACCUCUGGUGUUCGGGUUGUGACGCCAGUCGCAUUGCCCGGUAGCUAUGUUCGGACAGGAUAACCGCUGAAAGCAUCUAAGCGGGAAGCCCCUUCCAAGAUGAGAUCUCCCUGGACCCUCGAGGUCCCUGAAGAGCCGUUCAAGACCAGGACGUUGAUAGGUCGGGUGUGUAAGCGCUGCGAGGCGUUGAGCUAACCGAUACUAAUUGCUCGUGCGGCUUGAC
rnacentral:rRNA from 1 species